UUCGCUAGUGGCGCAGCUUUUGGCGGCUAAGUACUGACUUAGAAUCAAGGCACCUAAUCCCGGCGUGAAGGCACUUCCGCAGCAACAUCUUCAGAUCUUUUCGAUGUAGGACCCACUCUUUUAUUCAUUCAAUUUUAUCUUAAUUCUUUUUA